rnacentral:rRNA from 1 species
CCUACGGGUGGCAGCAGUGGGGAAUAUUGCGCAAUGGGCGAAAGCCUGACGCAGCGACGCCGCGUGAGGGAUGAAGGUCUUCGGAUCGUAAACCUCUGUCAGCAGGGAAGAACGGUCACUGUGCUAAUCAGCAGUGAAUUGACGGUACCUGCAAAGGAAGCACCGGCUAACUCCGUGCCAGCAGCCGCGGUAAUACGGAGGGUGCGAGCGUUAAUCGGAAUUACUGGGCGUAAAGGGAUCGUAGGCGGUAUGUCAAGUCAAGGGUGAAAGCCCCGCGCUCAACGUGGGAACUGACGUUGAAACUGGCAAACUGGAGUGUGUGAGAGGAUAGUGGAAUGCCAGGUGUAGGAGUGAAAUCCGUAGAUAUCUGGAGGAACAUCAGUGGCGAAGGCGACUAUCUGGCACAUAACUGACGCUGAGGAGCGAAAGCGUGGGUAGCAAACAGGAUUAGAUACCCCUGUAGUC